AUUGAACGCUGGCGGCAGGCCUAACACAUGCAAGUCGAGCGAGCGGCGGACGGGUGAGUAAUAUCUGGGAAACUGCCUGAUGGAGGGGGAUAACUACUGGAAACGGUAGCUCAUACCGCAUACCAUCAGAUGUGCCCACAUGGGAUUAGCUAGUAGGUGGGGUAAUGGCUCACCUAGGCGACGAUCCCUCGCGGGUCUGAGAGGAUGACCAGCCACACUGGAACUGAGACACGGUCCAGACUCCUACGGGAGGCAGCAGUGGGGAAUAUUGCACAAUGGGCGCAAGCCUGAUGCAGACAGGCCGCGUGUGUGAAGAAGGCCUUCGGGUUGUAAAGCACUUUCAGCGAGGAGGCGUUACUCGCAGAAGAAGCACCGGCUAACUCCGUGCCAGCAGCCGCGGUAAUAC
rnacentral:rRNA from 1 species